UGGCCACUUCCGGGAUCUGUCAGCCGCUCCCUCAGGGCCUCGGUCCUCCGCCCGCGCCUGCCGGAGCCUGUUCGCGUCGACUGACCAGAGUCCGCGAAUUCAACGCUCCGAUCCCGUUCGGACGGCCCCGACCCCCAGUUUUCUGUCCUUUGAACACACUAAGAAUAAUGUCCCUGCAUCAGUUCUUACUAGAGCCAAUCACCUGUCAUGCCUGGAACAGGGAUCGUACCCAGAUUGCCCUUAGCCCCAAUAACCACGAAGUCCACAUCUACAAGAAGAACGGGAGCCAGUGGGUGAAAGCUCAUGAACUCAAGGAGCACAACGGACACAUCACAGGUAUCGACUGGGCUCCCAAGAGUGACCGCAUCGUCACUUGUGGGGCUGACCGCAAUGCCUACGUGUGGAGUCAGAAAGAUGGUGUCUGGAAGCCGACCCUGGUGAUCCUGAGAAUUAACCGUGCCGCCACUUUUGUCAAGUGGUCCCCGCUAGAGAACAAAUUUGCUGUGGGCAGCGGAGCGCGACUCAUUUCUGUUUGUUACUUCGAGUCCGAAAAUGACUGGUGGGUAAGCAAGCACAUUAAAAAACCCAUUCGCUCCACGGUCCUCAGCUUGGAUUGGCAUCCCAACAACGUCUUGCUGGCAGCAGGAUCCUGUGAUUUCAAAUGCAGAGUGUUUUCUGCCUACAUUAAAGAAGUGGAUGAGAAGCCAGCCAGUACACCCUGGGGCAGCAAGAUGCCUUUUGGUCAGCUGAUGUCAGAGUUUGGUGGCAGUGGCACUGGCGGCUGGGUGCACGGGGUCAGCUUCUCCGCCAGCGGGAGCCGCCUGGCCUGGGUCAGCCACGACAGCACCGUGUCCGUUGCUGAUGCCUCAAAAUGUGUGCAGGUCUCAACUCUGAAGACAGAGUUCCUGCCCCUCCUGAGCGUGCGCUUCGUCUCGGAGAACAGCGUCGUGGCCGCUGGCCAUGACUGCUGCCCCAUGCUCUUUAGCUGCGACGACCGCGGCUGCUUGACCUUCGUCUCCAAGCUAGACAUCCCGAAACAGAGCAUCCAGCGCAACAUGUCGGCCAUGGAGCGCUUCCGCAACAUGGACAAGCGGGCCACGACCGAGGACCGCAACACGGCCCUGGAGACGCUGCACCAGAACAGCAUCACUCAAGUGUCUAUUUAUGAGGUGGACAAGCAAGAUUGUCGCAAAUUUUGCACUACUGGCAUCGAUGGAGCCAUGACCAUUUGGGAUUUCAAGAAUUCUGCCACUGCCUGUGCGGUUCCAUGAUUGAUGUUGCUGCCUCUACAAGUCUCUCCUCGCCCUUGUUACCUUCACCUGCUUUGGGGCAUCGCGCACCUGUGCAGUUAGCUCCACGUGGGCAGACCUUAGAGUCUUCUAUCCAGGGCCUUCGGAUAAUGUGAAGCUCAGCGAGCCUCCCAGAUCCAGCAUGAGGACGGACAGGCUGCGCCGGGCAGCUCCGCCAUUCGCAUGAUGGGCAGGAGAGCCGGCCGCCAGGAAACACUGAAGACACAUAUGGCGCAAACCUUCUUGUGUGUUUUGUCUGAGGAUAAUUGGUGAAAGUGUUGGUUUUUUAAAAUCAGCAGUGAUUUGGGUUUUGUUUUUUGGUUUUUUGUUUUGCUAUUUCAUUCCAUUCUUGACCAAAGCUUCUCUUUAAGUAGUUUAUUAUGGAAAAUUGUCACACUAACUUAAAGGAAGGGGUGUGGGAGGUAUGUAAAUUGUCCGCUACGAAAUUAAAUAAAAAUACUGAAUGUG